UGCUGGAGACAGCCUAAUACAGACACUCUUUUCCUCUUUCUCCAUUCCCCAUCGCAAAACUGGAGGACCUAGCUUCGCCGCAGAUGUCGUCGGUCCCGGACGCUGAUCUCGCCUCAGAUUCCGUGGCCGGCAAAAAAGACACGCAUCUCUGUAUUGAUAUGAUAUAUUGUAUUUAUCACGGACAAAAGACACAAGGACACAGUGGAGUCAAGCACGAACCAGUUUUUUUUAGCAUCCUUAAAGAGUACAAUUUACCAAGACAUCGUGCACAAAAGGGUUGGACCAAGGAAGCUUGGAAUAACAAGACGCAGCGUAUGAAUGAAAAAUCUGUAUCAGCAAACUUCAUUGUAUCUCAACUGAAGGAUAGAGAACAAAGGCUCAAGAAGGACCAUAAUGCAGUGCAUCUGAUUUUAUCAAAGAGUGGAUUUGGUUGGGACCCCAACCUAAAGAUGGCUACUACAGUAUCAUAAAAUUGGCAAGACCUACCACAAAAGUUACAGAAAUGGAAGGAUAAAGCCUUCCCAUACUAUGAAGACCUGCAUGAGAUUUACAAUGAUUUAUAAAAGUAUUUUGCUCUACGGAAAGAAGCAGUAGCUAGUGAAAUGGGAUGAGAGCUGCGAAACUAGAGAAUAUAACAUUUGGCAUUUAUUUUAGUCUUUUUUAGUCCGUAUGAACUAUUGUGUGUUAUUUGGUUUGUACGCUUUUGAAUUGAACUUGAUGGCACCAAACAGGUGUUCAAUUGAUUGCUGUAAAAGAAAUUUAUGAUUAUAUCAUGAGAAUUACCAGACUGUGGUAUUGAAAUA